UACGUAGGGUGCAAGCGUUAAUCGGAAUUACUGGGCGUAAAGCGUGCGCAGGCGGCUUUGCAAGUCAGAUGUGAAAUCCCCGGGCUUAACCUGGGAACUGCAUUUGUGACUGCAAGGCUUGAGUGCGGCAGAGGGGGAUGGAAUUCCGCGUGUAGCAGUGAAAUGCGUAGAUAUGCGGAGGAACACCGAUGGCGAAGGCAAUCCCCUGGGCCUGCACUGACGCUCAUGCACGAAAGCGUGGGGAGCAAACAGG
rnacentral:rRNA from 1 species